GAUGAACGCUGGCGGCGUGCCUAAUACAUGCAAGUCGAGCGAACGGACGAGAAGCUUGCUUCUCUGAUGUUAGCGGCGGACGGGUGAGUAACACGUGGAUAACCUACCUAUAAGACUGGGAUAACUUCGGGAAACCUGAGCUAAUACCGGAUAAUAUUUUGAACCGCAUGGUUCAAAAGUGAAAGACGGUCUUGCUGUCACUUAUAGAUGGAUCCGCGCUGCAUUAGCUAGUUGGUAAGGUAACGGCUUACCAAGGCAACGAUGCAUAGCAGACCUGAGAGGGUGAUCGGCCACACUGGAACUGAGACACGGUCCAGACUCCUACGGGAGGCAGCAGUAGGGAAGCUUCCGCAAUGGGCGAAAGCCUGACGGAGCAACGCCGCGUGAGUGAUGAAGGUCUUCGGAUCGUAAAACUCUGUUAUUAGGGAAGAACAUAUGUGUAAGUAACUGUGCACAUCUUGACGGUACCUAAUCAGAAAGCCACGGCUAACUACGUG
rnacentral:rRNA from 1 species